rnacentral:rRNA from 1 species
CCUAACACAUGCAAGUGGAGGGGUAGGAAGUCGGUACUUGCACCGGCUCUGAGACCGGCGCACGGGUGCGUAACGCGUAUGCAAUCUGCCCUCUACAGGGGAAUAGCCCAGGGAAACUUGGAUUAAUGCCCCAUGGUAUCAUUAGACAGCAUUGUCUGAUGAUUAAAGAUUUAUCGGUAGAGGAUGAGCAUGCGUCCCAUUAGCUAGUUGGUAUGGUAACGGCAUACCAAGGCUACGAUGGGUAGGGGCCCUGAGAGGGGGAUCCCCCACACUGGUACUGAGACACGGACCAGACUCCUACGGGAGGCAGCAGUGAGGAAUAUUGGACAAUGGGCGGAAGCCUGAUCCAGCCAUGCCGCGUGCAGGAAGACUGCCCUAUGGGUUGUAAACUGCUUUUUUACGGGAAGAAACACCCCCACGUGUGGGGGCCUGACGGUACCGUAGGAAUAAGCACCGGCUAACUCCGUGCCAGCAGCCGCGGUAAUACGGAGGAUGCAAGCGUUAUCCGGAAUCAUUGGGUUUAAAGGGUCCGUAGGCGGGCGAUUAAGUCAGGGGUGAAAGUCUGCGGCUCAACCGUAGGACUGCCCUUGAUACUGGUUGUCUUGAAUCGUUGUGAAGUGGCUAGAAUGAGCAGUGUAGCGGUGAAAUGCAUAGAUAUUGCUCAGAAUACCAAUUGCGAAGGCAGGUCACUAACAACGUAUUGACGCUGAGGGACGAAAGCGUGGGGAGCGAACAGGAUUAGAUACCCUGGUAGUCCACGCCGUAACGAUGGACACUAGCUGUCCGGCCUUUUUGGCUGGGUGG